UACGUAUGGGGCAAGCGUUAUCCGGAUUUACUGGGUGUAAAGGGAGCGUAGGCGGCCUGGCAAGCCUGAUGUGAAAUACCGGGGCCCAACCCCGGGGCUGCAUUGGGAACUGCCAGGCUGGAGUGCCGGAGAGGCAGGCGGAAUUCCUAGUGUAGCGGUGAAAUGCGUAGAUAUUAGGAGGAGCACCAGUGGCGAAGGCGGCCUGCUGGACGGUGACUGACGCUGAGGCUCGAAAGCGUGGGGAGCAAACAGG
rnacentral:rRNA from 1 species